rnacentral:rRNA from 1 species
GAUGAACGCUGGCGGCGUGCCUAAUACAUGCCAGUCGAGCGAACAGACGAGGAGCUUGCUCCCUGACGUUAGCGGCGGACGGGUGAGUAACACGUGGAUAACCUACCUAUAAGACUGGGAUAACUUCGGGAAACCGGAGCUAAUACCGGAUAAUAUAUUGAACCGCAUGGUUCAAUAGUGAAAGACGGUUUUGCUGUCACUUAUAGAUGGAUCCGCGCCGCAUUAGCUAGUUGGUAAGGUAACGGCUUACCAAGGCAACGAUGCGUAGCCGACCUGAGAGGGUGAUCGGCCACACUGGAACUGAGACACGGUCCAGACUCCUACGGGAGGCAGCAGUAGGGAAUCUUCCGCAAUGGGCGAAAGCCUGACGGAGCAACGCCGCGUGAGUGAUGAAGGUCUUCGGAUCGUAAAACUCUGUUAUUAGGGAAGAACAAAUGUGUAAGUAACUAUGCACGUCUUGACGGUACCUAAUCAGAAAGCCACGGCUAACUACGUG